rnacentral:lncRNA from 1 species
CGGGGAGCGGGUGUGUAGCUAUAAUCAACAAUUCUUUAGCUAAUAAAACUGUAUUCCAUGUUAAGUGUACUGAAUCGGCCUACAAAGAAAUACAAGCGCACUUAAGAGAUCGGAAACACUCGUCGUCCACAGCGAGCAUCUCCUUCAAUAAAGGAACCGGGAGCCUAGUGAUACCAGGAAGCAGCGCUAGUGACGUGAAGCACCAGUUCACAUUCUCAACACAGUCACAACGAGACCGACACUCUGAGAUAAAAGCUGUCACCCGCACCCCAAGCGGCAGCCUGCUGUGUCUCGGCACCAUCGAGAGCACGCUUAGAGUUCACGCUAACGCUGACUCCUUCAACAAUGUCAAGGAUAAACUCAACUCUGUUAAAGCGCACAAUGAACA